GCCGCGGUAAUACGAGUGCCUCAAGCGUUAUCCGGAAUUAUUGGGCGUAAAGGAUGUGUAGGUGGUAGUGUUAGUCUCUUGUUAAAUUCUUCGGCUUAACCGGGGGCAUGCAAGGGAAACGGCACAACUAGAGGAUGCGAGGGGUUUGCGGAACUCAUAGUGUAGCGGUGAAAUGCGUUGAUAUUAUGGGGAACACCAAAAGCGAAGGCAGCAAACUGGAGCACUCCUGACACUGAAACAUGAAAGCGUGGGUAGCGAAUGGGAUUAGAUACCCCAGUAGUCCACGCCCUAAACGAUGAUCUCUGGCUUUGAGGAGUAUCGACCCUCUUCGAGGCGAAGCUAACGCGUUAAGAGAUCCGCCUGGGUAGUACGACCGCAAGGUUAAAACUCAAAGGA
rnacentral:rRNA from 1 species